GAUGAACGCUGGCGGCGUGCUUAACACAUGCAAGUCGAACGAUGAAGCCCAGCUUGCUGGGUGGAUUAGUGGCGAACGGGUGAGUAACACGUGAGUAACCUGCCCUUGACUCUGGGAUAAGCCUGGGAAACUGGGUCUAAUACUGGAUAUGACUUCUCAUCGCAUGGUGGGGGGUGGAAAGAUUUAUUGGUCUUGGAUGGACUCGCGGCCUAUCAGCUUGUCGGUGAGGUAAUGGCUCACCAAGGCGACGACGGGUAGCCGGCCUGAGAGGGUGACCGGCCAAACGGGACUGGAGACACGGCCCAGACUCCUACGGGGGGAAGCAGUGGGAAAUAUUGCACAAGGGGCGAAAGCCUGAUGCAGCGACGCCGCGUGGGGGAUGACGGCCUUCGGGUGGUAACCCUCUUUCGGUAGGAAGAAGCGAGAGUGACGGUACCUGCAGAAGAAGCGCCGGCUAACUACGUG
rnacentral:rRNA from 1 species